AUUGAACGCUGGCGGCAUGCCUUACACAUGCAAGUCGAACGGCAGCACGGGAGCAAUCCUGGUGGCGAGUGGCGAACGGGUGAGUAAUAUAUCGGAACGUGCCCAGUCGUGGGGGAUAACGCAGCGAAAGCUGUGCUAAUACCGCAUACGAUCUACGGAUGAAAGCGGGGGAUCGCAAGACCUCGCGCGAUUGGAGCGGCCGAUAUCAGAUUAGCUAGUUGGUGGGGUAAAGGCCCACCAAGGCGACGAUCUGUAGCUGGUCUGAGAGGACGACCAGCCACACUGGAACUGAGACACGGUCCAGACUCCUACGGGAGGCAGCAGUGGGGAAUUUUGGACAAUGGGCGCAAGCCUGAUCCAGCAAUGCCGCGUGCAGGAUGAAGGACUUCGGGUUGUAAACUGCUUUUGUACGGAACGAAACGGCUCCUUCUAAUACAAGGGGCUAAUGACGGUACCGUAAGAAUAAGCACCGGCUAACUACGUGCCAGCCGCCGCCGUAAUAC
rnacentral:rRNA from 1 species